AAGAGGUAGGAGCGGUGAUGAUGGCGGCUGUGGAGGGUGGCUCCUGGUGUCUCAGAGCACUCUCUCUGCCCUUUUAAGAGAAAAAGCCAGAGCCAUUGAAACUAGAGGCACAGAACAUCAGGACACAGGACAUCUGGAGGAACAAGGAACUGGGAGAAGUGGCAGAUUGGGAGAAGGCAAAUAAAAAGGUCAAAUGAUGAAGCUCACAAUCUGCUUUUGGCCCAGGAGAUAAUGCCCUUAUCUAAAGGCUAAACGUUUUCUUGGGAUGAAUGGAUCAGUCCUGAGUCCAAAAUUCCAUGACUGCCUUAGAAGAUAG
rnacentral:lncRNA from 1 species